rnacentral:rRNA from 1 species
UACGAAGGGGGCUAGCGUUGCUCGGAAUCACUGGGCGUAAAGGGUGCGUAGGCGGGUCUUUAAGUCAGGGGUGAAAUCCUGGAGCUCAACUCCAGAACUGCCUUUGAUACUGAAGAUCUUGAGUCCGGGAGAGGUGAGUGGAACUGCGAGUGUAGAGGUGAAAUUCGUAGAUAUUCGCGAAGAACACCAGUGGCGAAGGCGGCUCACUGGCCCGGUACUGACGCUGAGGCACGAAAGCGUGGGGAGCAAACAGG